rnacentral:rRNA from 1 species
AAAUUGAAGAGUUUGAUCAUGGCUCAGAUUGAACGCUGGCGGCAGGCCUAACACAUGCAAGUCGAGCGGUAGCACAGAGAGCUUGCUCUCGGGUGACGAGCGGCGGACGGGUGAGUAAUGUCUGGGAAACUGCCUGAUGGAGGGGGAUAACUACUGGAAACGGUAGCUAAUACCGCAUAACGUCGCAAGACCAAAGAGGGGGACCUUCGGGCCUCUUGCCAUCGGAUGUGCCCAGAUGGGAUUAGCUAGUAGGUGGGGUAACGGCUCACCUAGGCGACGAUCCCUAGCUGGUCUGAGAGGAUGACCAGCCACACUGGAACUGAGACACGGUCCAGACUCCUACGGGAGGCAGCAGUGGGGAAUAUUGCACAAUGGGCGCAAGCCUGAUGCAGCCAUGCCGCGUGUGUGAAGAAGGCCUUCGGGUUGUAAAGCACUUUCAGCGGGGAGGAAGGCGAUAAGGUUAAUAACCUUGUCGAUUGACGUUACCCGCAGAAGAAGCACCGGCUAACUCCGUGCCAGCAGCCGCGGUAAUACGGAGGGUGCAAGCGUUAAUCGGAAUUACUGGGCGUAAAGCGCACGCAGGCGGUUUGUUAAGUCAGAUGUGAAAUCCCCGGGCUCAACCUGGGAACUGCAUCUGAUACUGGCAAGCUUGAGUCUCGUAGAGGGGGGUAGAAUUCCAGGUGUAGCGGUGAAAUGCGUAGAGAUCUGGAGGAAUACCGGUGGCGAAGGCGGCCCCCUGGACGAAGACUGACGCUCAGGUGCGAAAGCGUGGGGAGCAAACAGGAUUAGAUACCCUGGUAGUCCACGCCGUAAACGAUGUCGACUUGGAGGUUGUGCCCUUGAGGCGUGGCUUCCGGAGCUAACGCGUUAAGUCGACCGCCUGGGGAGUACGGCCGCAAGGUUAAAACUCAAAUGAAUUGACGGGGGCCCGCACAAGCGGUGGAGCAUGUGGUUUAAUUCGAUGCAACGCGAAGAACCUUACCUGGUCUUGACAUCCACGGAAGUUUUCAGAGAUGAGAAUGUGCCUUCGGGAACCGUGAGACAGGUGCUGCAUGGCUGUCGUCAGCUCGUGUUGUGAAAUGUUGGGUUAAGUCCCGCAACGAGCGCAACCCUUAUCCUUUGUUGCCAGCGGUCCGGCCGGGAACUCAAAGGAGACUGCCAGUGAUAAACUGGAGGAAGGUGGGGAUGACGUCAAGUCAUCAUGGCCCUUACGACCAGGGCUACACACGUGCUACAAUGGCGCAUACAAAGAGAAGCGACCUCGCGAGAGCAAGCGGACCUCAUAAAGUGCGUCGUAGUCCGGAUUGGAGUCUGCAACUCGACUCCAUGAAGUCGGAAUCGCUAGUAAUCGUGGAUCAGAAUGCCACGGUGAAUACGUUCCCGGGCCUUGUACACACCGCCCGUCACACCAUGGGAGUGGGUUGCAAAAGAAGUAGGUAGCUUAACCUUCGGGAGGGCGCUUACCACUUUGUGAUUCAUGACUGGGGUGAAGUCGUAACAAGGUAACCGUAGGGGAACCUGCGGUUGGAUCACCUCCUUA